UACAGCCAUAUCACAUAGAAACACCGGUUCCCAUAUGAUCACCAAAGUUAAGCAACAUUGAGCUUGGUCAGUACCGAAAUGGGUAACCACUUGGAAAUACUAGGUACUGUAAG